rnacentral:rRNA from 1 species
UACGAAGGGGGCUAGCGUUGCUCGGAAUCACUGGGCGUAAAGCGCACGUAGGCGGAUCUUUAAGUCAGGGGUGAAAUCCCAAGGCUCAACCUUGGAACUGCCUUUGAUACUGGGGGAUCUCGAGUCCGGAAGAGGUUGGUGGAACUGCGAGUGUAGAGGUGAAAUUCGUAGAUAUUCGCAAGAACACCAGUGGCGAAGGCGGCCAACUGGUCCGGUACUGACGCUGAGGUGCGAAAGCGUGGGUAGCAAACGAGG